UACUUGACAUCUGGCCGCCAUUCUGAUUUCCAUUGAAGUUGACAGUUGGUCUCCAAAACGGUUAACAGUUCUGGUGUUAACAGUUUUUGCGUAAACAGCGGUGUAGAAAUGUACAAAUGUUGCAUAUGGAAUGUCUCUUGUAACGUUUAUGUCAAAACAUCCGUCAAUUGUCAUCGAAUAAGAACAAAAAAGAAGCAGAUUUUCAAUUCUGCAUUUCGAAGAUUAUUAAGAACUAGAUGUCGGCAUGGAACAGCAGCAGUGAUUUCUCCAACAAGACGGAGCGCCUCUACACUAUGCCCUUCCUGUUCGAGUAUAUUUAAACCAAUUAUUUUCCAAUUGAUGGAUUCGGAGAAGAGGCCCGAUUUGACUCUGCUGUACUUCUUCCUUUAAAUUUACACCACUAGACCAAAUACUUCUAAUGAACAAAAAAUCAGAAUCCUAGAAGAACUUGAGAGAAUAAUUCGUGUUACCUUAGGGAAUUGUCAAGAAGAAUUUAAAAAUCGUUUACGAGCUGCCCAAGGUGAGGCCAAUCCUUUAAAAGUAUAGAUAGUACCGAUUUGUCUCAGUUGUGCACCAGUUAAACAUGCACUGAAAUUACAAACACCUUUAAGAAAGUUAUUUUGUUCAGCAAUAUAAUGACAUCAACUAUGGUUUUCCUGUAGUCUAACUUUUGAAGACAAUUUCUCAAUUUAACAGUUGUUAACUUAAUCCGGAUGAACUGCAGCUAACUCCCGAGAUAAUUCCGCAUUAACGAGUUAAUCCGGAUCAACGCUGCCGCCUGCCUAUCUAUACUCAUUACUAUUGAGCUGCAUUGCAAUUUCGAGAGUGCCAAAUAAAUGAGUCUGCUGUUGACACCAAGAAGUCGUGAUUUAUUUAGCUAGAUUGGCUUAAAGUCAUAGUUUAGUUACACCGCCUCAAGAAGCAUUUUUAUCAACAAACUAGUUGAUAACUAAUAUCGAACAAAAUAUAAAUCCAAAUGUGUUUAGUUAAAG